CUCCUGGCCUCAAGUGAUCCUCCUGCUUUGGCCUCCCAAAGUGCUGAGAUUACAGGUCUCUCCCAACCGAUUCCUGUCCCACGCACGCAAUUCUCAAGCUUUAUGGAACUGGAGCCCCAGGGAUGAGGGACAAAGGAUGGAAAUGGAGAUGGAGCCUUGCUAUGUUGCCCAGGCUGGUCUCCAACUCCUGGUCUUAAGCGACCGUCCUGCUUUAGCCUCGCAAAGCACUGGGAUUACAGGCAUGAGCCACCGCACCCAGCCAAUGUUCUCACACUUUCUGAGUACACUUUCCCUCAAUCUGUCUUGAGUCUCCUGUUCUAUGACCAGCAGACAUUUCUUACAGAAGCAGGUGGCAGAGAAACAAGAGGAGGGGGCAUGGUGAGCAGCAGAGAGGCUGGUGGGGAGCCUGAGAUCAAGGUAGGCUAGCUUGCCACAGGGUCUUUGGGACAUGGUGGGGAUUCAGGGUGGGAAUGAAUUCACAGAGAAGGAAAGGGAGGUCAUGGUGCAGUGUGAGCACAGAGGACUGUGGGUUGGGUCCUGCCCUUCUGGGUUUCACAGAGCAACACCAAGCACAGACUCAGCAGCAUGAGCAGGGGCACAGGGUCCUGUCCACACCAGCCUCUCCAGCCUGGGGCAGGAGGGAGGAGGGCUGACCUGCUCUUACCUUGAGAAC